GAUGAACGCUGGCGGCGUGCCUAAUACAUGCAAGUCGAGCGAACAGACGAGGAUCUUGCUCCUCUGACGUUAGCGGCGGACGGGUGAGUAACACGUGUAUAACCUACCUAUAAGACUGGGAUAACUUCGGGAAACCGGAGCUAAUACCGGAUAAUAUAUUGAACCUCAUGGUUCAAUAGUGAAAUACGGUUUUGCUGUCACUUAUAGAUGUAUCCGGGACGCAUUAGCUAGUUGGUAAGGUAACGGCUUACCAAGGCGACGAUGCGUAGCCGACCUGAGAGGGUGAUAGGACACACUGGAACAGAGACACGGUCCAGACUCCUACGGGAGGCAGCAGUAGGGAAUAUUGGGCAAUGGGCGAAAGCAUGACGGAGCAAAGCCGCGUGAGUGAUGAAGGUCUUCGGAUCGUAAAACACUGUUAUUAGGGAAGAAAAAAAGUGUAAGAAACUAUGCACGUCUUGACGGUACCUAAUAAGAAAGCAACGGCUAACUACGUG
rnacentral:rRNA from 1 species